rnacentral:rRNA from 1 species
CAGUAGGGAAUCUUCGGCAAUGGGGGCAACCCUGACCGAGCAACGCCGCGUGAGUGAAGAAGGUCUUCGGAUCGUAAAACUCUGUUGUUAGAGAAGAACACGAGUGAGAGUAACUGUUCAUUCGAUGACGGUAUCUAACCAGCAAGUCACGGCUAACUACGUGCCAG